UACGAAGGGUGCUAGCGUUGUUCGGAAUCACUGGGCGUAAAGCGUGCGUAGGCGGCUUUACAAGUCAGAGGUGAAAUGCCAAGGCUUAACCUUGGAACUGCCUUUGAAACUGUAAAGCUGGAGUGUCGGAGGGGAUAGCGGAAUUUCUAAUGUAGCGGUGAAAUGCGUAGAUAUUAGAAGGAACACCGGUGGCGAAGGCGGCUAUCUGGACGACAACUGACGCUGAGGCACGAAAGCGUGGGGAGCAAACAGG
rnacentral:rRNA from 1 species